GGCGGUUCUUGGGUGACGCACCCCAAAACUAGGCUCCCUCCUGCCUGGUUCUGGGGUGCAUAACCCAAGAACCGCU
rfam:Myotis brandtii contig232301, whole genome shotgun sequence.